UUGCUCGCUUCAGGCAGCCACAUAUACUAAAAUUGGAACAGUACAGAGAAGAUUAGUAUGGCCCUGCCGACAGGAUGACACGCAAAUUCGCUGAAGCGCUUCCAUAUUUG